GCUGGGAUUACAGGAAUGAGCCACUGCACCUGGCCAACUUUACCCCAGGCCGAUUGUCCCAGUCUAACGGUGCAGAAGGCUGAGAAACAUGAUCCUGUGUGCAAAGGAAGGAAAAAGGGAACUUGCAUUCUUCCUCCAUCGCCCGCUCCCAGCACCUGGCCAGGCUUCCAACUUCAGCCCAUGAUCCUCAUCCUGCUUGAAGCCCUCCAUGACCGCCCCCCCAACCUCCCACAGAACUGAUUGUGCCCUUCCUUGUGACAUGGUCAUGCCUUGUACCA